UCCUAAUUUUACCAGCUCUUCCACAGUAUUUACUCGGCUACGCAAUUGGCUGGCAAGAGAGCUCUGUAAGAAAACGCGAAGUCUCUAAUGGAUUCUGUGUCUCUUUGAAUCCUAGUACGGACACGUUCAGCCAGUUCGUCCUCAUAAUCCUCAGAAAGGAAAGCAGAUAUGAAUGCAGUCUCAAACUCAAUCCAAGUGGUUAUGCUGGACCGUCUGACUUCCCACCAGUCUCGUGCUGUUCCGUACAAGACAGUACGGAAGGUAGCCAGGAUGUCUGCAUCUGUCAGGGGAUGUACAGCCAAAAAAUCCUGACAUUUAGUUAGGUACAAUAGGGGGUCUGCAUCGUCUGAAGGCCUUCCAAAUGUGGGGAAGGUUAAUUUAAUAUGGUCACUUUUAACCACAGAUGUUAACAGAGGGGUUGAAGAAGUUGAAAGAGUCACUGGAGCAAA
ensembl:lncRNA